rnacentral:rRNA from 1 species
UCUCGCCUGCCAGUGAACUUUUUCAACGGCCGCGGUAUUCUAACCGUGCAAAGGUAGCGUAAUCACUUGUCUUCUAAAUAAAGACCUGUAUGAACGGCUAAAUGAGGACAAACCUGUCUCUUAUAACUAACCAGUGAAACUGAUCUCCCAGUACAAAAGCUGGAAUAACUACAUAAGACGAGAAGACCCUGUGGAGCUUAAAACAAACCACCAACUACCACAUAUGGUGAAAUGUUUUUAGUUGGGGCGACUUCGGAAUAAAAUACAACUUCCGAGCACAGAACCACCAAUUCAAACCAAGGCCAACAGGCCAAAGUAUUAACUUGACCCGGCCCAAGCCGACCAACGAACCAAGUUACCCCAGGGAUAACAGCGCUAUCUUCUUCAAGAGUCCCUAUCAACAAGAAGGUUUACGACCUCGAUGUUGGAUCAGGACACCCAAAUGGUGCAGCCGCUAUUAAAGGUUCGUUUGUUCAACGAUUAACAGUCCUACGUGAUCU